GACGAACGCUGGCGGCGUGCUUAACACAUGCAAGUCGAGCGGUAAGGCCUUUCGGGGUACCCGAGCGGCGAACGGGUGAGUAACACGUGGGUGAUCUGCCCUGCACUUCGGGAUAAGCCUGGGAAACUGGGUCUAAUACCGGAUAUGACCUCCUAUCGCAUGGUGGGUGGUGGAAAGAUUUAUCGGUGCAGGAUGGUCCCGCGGCCUAUCAGCUUGUUGGUGGGGUAAUGGCCUACCAAGGCGACGACGGGUAGCCGACCUGAGAGGGUGACCGGCCACACUGGGACUGAGACACGGCCCAGACUCCUACGGGAGGCAGCAGUGGGGAAUAUUGCACAAUGGGCGAAAGCCUGAUGCAGCGACGCCGCGUGAGGGAUGACGGCCUUCGGGUUGUAAACCUCUUUCAGCAGGGACGAAGCGCAAGUGACGGUACCUGCAGAAGAAGCACCGGCUAACUACGUG
rnacentral:rRNA from 1 species